UGAAGGUUUAAAUGGUCUGGCCUGCUCACUGAUAAAAUUAUUUAAGAGCCGCGGUAUAUUGACCGUGCAAAGGUAGCAUAAUCAUUAGGGGUUUAAUUGGAACCUAGAAUGAAGGGUCGGACAAAGGAAGAACUGUCUGUUAGGUUUAAUUAGAAGUUUACUUUUAAGUGAAAAGGCUUAAAUAAAUCAAAGGGACGAUAAGACCCUAUAAAGCUUUAUAAAUAACUUAAAUUUGAUUAAUUUAAAAUAUAAAUGUUAAGUUUAAUUAUUUUAUUUUAUUGGGGUGAUAUGAGUAUAAUUGUUAUUAACUGCUUAUAAAAAAUUCUUUGUAAAAGAUUUAUUUAAGUGAAUGAUCCUUUUUAAAGAUUAAAAGAUUAAGUUACUUUAGGGAUAACAGCGUUAUUUUUCUUGAGAGUUCAUAUCGAAAGAAAAGAUUGCGACCUCGAUGUUGAAUUAAAAUAUCUAUAUAGUGCAGCCGUUAUAAAAGAGGGUCUGUUCGACCUUUAAAUU
rnacentral:rRNA from 1 species